rnacentral:ncRNA from 1 species
GAGAAGCGCCGACCAUGCGGGAGGCGUGGCUUUAUAGACCAAAAACCGGCCGCUCUCUCAAGGCGCGUCGCCUUGGUGACUCUGGAUAACUUUGCGGAUCGCACGGUCUAGCACCGGCGACGGAUCAUUCAAGUGUCUGCCCUAUCAACUUUCGUCGGUACGGUAUUUGCCUACCGAGGUUCUUACGGGUGACGGGGAAUCAGGGUUCGAUUCCGGAGAGGGAGCCUGAGAAACGGCUACCACAUCCAAGGAAGGCAGCAGGCGCGCAAAUUACCCAUUCCCGACGCGGGGAGGUAGUGACGAAAAAUAACAAUGCAGGACUCGUUCGAGGCCCUGUAAUUGGAAUGAGUACACUUUAAAAGCUUUAACGAGUAUCCAUUGGAGGGCAAGUCUGGUGCCAGCAGCCGCGGUAAUUCCAGCUCCAAAAGUAUAUAUUUAAGUUGUUGCGGUUAAAAAGCUCGUAGUUGGAUUUUGGGCGCAGGCGGCCGGUCCGUCGCAAGGCGUGUACUGGACGUCCUGGCCUUCCCUCCGGUUCUCCGCCGGUGCUCUUGACUGAGUGUCGGCGGCGGCCGGAACGUUUACUUUGAAAAAAUUAGAGUGUUCAAAGCAGGCUCUCGAGCCUGGAUAAUGGUGCAUGGAAUAAUGGAAUAGGACCUCGGUUCUAUUUUGUUGGUUUUCGGAGCGCGAGGUAAUGAUUAAGAGGGACAGACGGGGGCAUUCGUACUGUGCCGUUAGAGGUGAAAUUCUUGGAUCGGCGCAAGACGAACGACUGCGAAAGCAUUUGCCAAGAAUGUUUUCUUUAAUCAAGAGCC